UUUGACUAGAUGUUUUAUUAAUUAAUUCCCUCGUUCUCAUAUUUCUCAUAUUUCGAUGGCGUGCUGAGCGAGCUUUACGCUCUCCCAGCGUGACGUGAGUUGAUUAGGUUUUAUACAUUGUUUGUUUUUGUGUGUUUAGUUUGUGUUUGUUGUG